AGACAAAAAGUACUGAAGUUGGUAUGUGUAGUUUCGGCCUACAAGGAGGACUGUUGUCCUUUGUUUU
rnacentral:tRNA from 1 species